GACGAACCGUGCGAACGUUGUUCGGAUUCACUGGGCUUAAAGGGCGCGUAGGCGGGUGGUCAAGUCAGGGGUGAAAGCCCACGGCCCAACCGUGGAAGUGCCUCUGAUACUGAUCGUCUUGAGGGAGGUAGGGGCAUGCGGAACUUCCGGUGGAGCGGUGAAAUGCGUUGAUAUCUACAGGAACUCCGGUGGCGAAAGCGGCGCGCUGGACCUCUUCUGACGCUGAGGCGCGAAAGCUAAGGGGAGCAACGGGG
rnacentral:rRNA from 1 species